AAUGAACGUUGGCGGCGUGGAUUAGGCAUGCAAGUCGCGCGGGUGUAGCAAUACACCAGCGGCGUAAGGGACAGUAAUGUAUAGGUACCUGCCCUCGGGACGGGGAUAGCGGUGGGAAACUGCCGGUAAUACCCGAUGACGUCUUCGGACCAAAGGUGUGAGUCCGCCCGGGGAUGGGCCUGUAUCCUAUUAGCUUGUUGGCGGGGUAACGGCCCACCAAGGCGAUGAUGGGUAGCAGGUGUGAGAGCACGACCUGCGUCAUUGGGACUGAGACACUGCCCAGACACCUACGGGUGGCUGCAGUCGAGAAUCUUCGGCAAUGGGCGCAAGCCUGACCGAGCGACGCCGCGUGCGGGAUGAAGGCCUUCGGGUUGUAAACCGCUGUCAGUGGGGAGGAAGGCUCCGUGAAGAGCGGGGUUUGACCUAUCCGCAGAGGAAGGACGGGCUAAGUUCGUGCCAGCCGCCGCAGUAAAAC
rnacentral:rRNA from 1 species